rnacentral:rRNA from 1 species
UACGUAGGGUGCAAGCGUUGUCCGGAAUUAUUGGGCGUAAAGGGCGCGUAGGCGGCGAGGUAAGUCUGGUGUGAAAUCUAGGAGCUCAACUCCUAAACUGCACUGGAUACUGCUUUGCUUGAGGACUGGAGAGGAGAUUGGAAUUCACGGUGUAGCAGUGAAAUGCGUAGAUAUCGUGAGGAAGACCAGUGGCGAAGGCGGAUCUCUGGACAGUUCCUGACGCUGAGGCGCGAAGGCCAGGGGAGCAAACGGG